UCGCACUUUGAGGGACACUGUACUGGAGCAAAUACUGAGAAUCAACAUCUACUAAACCAAUGUUUUGCUUUGACAUAAAGGGGAACAUUGGCAGGAAAGUAAACAUCAGUAUUACAGAGCUGUUUGAACAAAAAGUCCAUAUACACAUGCGAGACUCGUACAAUGUCUAUUUUUUCAAAAACAUUUUUAAAUGUGGUCUAUAAUCAAGGAAGGAAGAAAAAAAAAAGAACGAUUUCUUCUUUUUUUUUUUUGAGGUUACUUUUGUUUCACAACAUGGGAUAUGAUGGGUUUUUCCAUGAAGUAUGAAUUUCUGUA